AUACGAAAUUUUAAAAAUGCUUUGAUUUUCAUUUUAUAUUUAGAAUAACAAAAAAAUUAAAUCAGUAAGAGAAACGAAAAAACGUGCGUUUUUUCAUUUUCUGAGACCGGAAGUGGUCAUCAGCAAGUGUGGAGCCAAACGACAACAAGUUUCUCAGAGGGCGGAGCCAGAGAGCAGUGAUUGGUCAGACCAUAGAAGACAGCGCGCUAGCGUAUCUAGUCUGUGUAUAUCUAUGGUCGGCACGUCUGGUAGCAUCUCUGGCUGCUGUUGAUCUUGUUUUUGGAGUAAAACACGGUGGAAGCUGAAUUAGUGAGGAUGACUCCUGCUCCUGUCAUCUCUAAACUCCUCACACAUCUUUACCUGCACAUGAGGAAAAUCACUCCUGUAGAAUGCAGAUGUUCAGAGGGAGAUGAUGCCACAUCUGGUCCAGCUGAUGGAAGGUCUUGAAGUUCUCUGACUGGCCUCGACUGAAGAUGGUCGUCUCACUGGAUUUAAGAUGCACAAUGAGGGACGUCUGCAGAGACUGAGAAAGAGUCUCACCACAUCCUGACAUGAGGAAAAAGACUUUAUUGAAGACUACAAUGAGAAAAACUAUCAGACAGCAGACGGCAUGCAUUCAAGAGAAGAAGACCAUCAAACAUCCACGUCAGCUGAUGGAGGUCCAAGAGUCUCACCGAACAACCAACCUACAGAGUGAAGACCUCGAAUCUGAUUGGACGGCCUCCUAUUCAGCCACAUGUGUGAACAAAUGCCUCUAAGCUGAUUUGUUUUCUAAAAUAAAUCUAGUUUGAGUCCUAAUCUAUGCCUGUGUGUUUGCUUCUUUACACCACUGUUAACAGUUUAGGCUGUUAGAUUGUUCCAGAUAAGACAAGUACAAGAUUCUUCAGAGCCGUUCUACCACGAGCCUGACAGGAAGAACUCCAACAGCUACUGAAUGUUCCUGUGCUUCCCUCAAGGCUACAGGAGGAGCCCUACGAGGACGAGCUGGUCCACCUGAUGGCGGCCAGUCGCUGCGGUUCAAAGCCAACACCGACUACGUGGACUUCUACUGGACCACACGGAGGCCUUCAAACCGGACCAACAAGUUCAGCGACUCCCCGACUUGUGGGUCUGAGGACGCCGCCGAGCCUCGGUCCAGCCGGCCUCCUGUCUGUGGGUGUUUGAGUGCUGAGAG
ensembl:lncRNA